GUAGUCCCGGCUGGCAGCGUCCGGAAGGACGGGAGGGCACGGGAGUGCAGCCCGCCCAUCUGGCUACUGGAGGUCACGUUCCCUAACUGAUCCCUUGGUCCUGUCGGGUGGAGCCUUCAGCGUGCACGGCGAGAUUUGACUUUGCCACCGUCUCUCUUGGGUUUCAAUAAAGUUUUCCUCUUCCUCGCCUCGUACGGAGUUCAAGAUGGCGGCCUCCUGGUCGCUCUUGGUUACCUUGCGCCCCUUAGCACAGAGCCCGCUGAGAGGGAGAUGUGUUGGGUGCGGGGCCCGGGCCGCCGCUCUCGCUCCUCUGGCCACCGCCCCUGGGAAGCCCCUUUGGAAAGCCUAUACAGUUCAGACAUCUGAGAGCAUGGCCCCAACUGCCACUUCAGAGACUUACUUGAAGGCUUUGGCCGUUUGCCAUGGACCUCUGGACCACUAUGAUUUUCUGAUCAAAGCUCAUGAGCUAAAGGAUGAUGAACAUCAAAGAAGAGUCAUACAGUGUUUGCAGAAAUUACACGAGGACCUUAAAGGAUAUAAUAUAGAGGCAGAAGGCCUUUUUUCAAAGCUUUUUUCAAGGAGCAAACCUCCCAGGGGCCUGUAUGUUUAUGGAGAUGUUGGUACAGGAAAAACAAUGGUGAUGGACAUGUUUUAUGCUUAUGUGGAAAUGAAGAGGAAAAAACGGGUUCAUUUUCAUGGUUUCAUGCUAGAUGUGCACAAAAGAAUACAUCGCCUUAAACAGAGUUUGCCAAAAAGGAAACCAGGAUUCAUGGCUAAAUCAUAUGACCCAAUAGCUCCUAUAGCUGAAGAAAUCAGUGAAGAAGCAUGUCUCCUAUGUUUUGAUGAAUUUCAGGUCACUGACAUUGCUGAUGCCAUGAUUCUGAAACAGCUUUUUGAAAAUCUGUUCAAAAACGGGGUCGUCGUUGUGGCAACAUCCAACAGGCCACCGGAAGAUCUCUAUAAAAAUGGACUCCAAAGAGCUAACUUUGUACCAUUCAUAGCAGUCUUGAAGGAAUAUUGUCAUACAGUCCAGCUAGAUUCUGGGAUAGAUUACCGGAAAAGGGAACUUCCUGCUGCAGGAAAACUCUACUACCUCACAAGUGAAGCUGAUGUGGAGGCUGUCAUGGAUAAGUUGUUUGAUGAGCUGGCUCAGAAACAAAAUGAUUUAACUAGACCAAGGAUUCUAAAAGUGCAAGGCAGAGAGCUGCGCCUGAAUAAAGCCUGUGGAACCAUUGCCGACUGCACAUUUGAAGAGCUGUGUGAGAGACCACUUGGAGCCAGUGACUAUUUGGAACUAUCAAAGAAUUUUGAUACAAUAUUUUUACGAAACAUUCCGCAAUUUACUCUGGCAAACAGAACUCAAGGUCGAAGAUUCAUAACUCUCAUCGAUAACUUUUAUGAUCUCAAGGUGCGUGUAAUUUGCUCUGCGUCGACUCCUAUAUCAAGCUUAUUUUUACAUCAACAUCAUGACAGUGAGUUGGAGCAAAGCAGAAUACUGAUGGAUGAUUUGGGGCUGAGCCAGGAUUCAGCAGAAGGACUCUCCAUGUUUACUGGAGAAGAGGAAAUCUUUGCAUUUCAGCGCACGAUUUCCCGACUCACAGAAAUGCAGACUGAACAGUACUGGAACGAAGGAGACAGAACCAAGAACAUGCUGCCCCCGCCCUUGCUGCCGACUCCGCCAUGAGAUGGACCUAAUAGGAAAUAGGAAAGAACGCCUGACAAGCCUGCUUCAAAGGAAAUCUGAUUUGUCCUUCACUGAGCUCAUUUUUUGCAUCUUUGAGUAAAACCUGGCUUUACUAACUAUUGUCACAAAGUGGAUCUUCGGCUGUGGAUGAGUGUGAAAAAAAAAGAAAAAACAUAAAAUCCACAAAAUCUAGUGAAAAUUAAGCAUUUAGGGCAAGGUAAGGCAGAGUAUUGCUGGUCCACGUAACUGGAACCUACACUUGAUGGCUGCUUUAUCUGAGAUUAAAAACACGCAGAAGGAUUGGGCGCCUGGGUCCCUGACAUUUGGGUUCCUGUUCAGUUACGGGAAUCUGUCUUGCAGCAAGUCUGUAAGUUACCUUUAUUAGAUUUACUAAUCUCGAAAGACGUCACUUGCUGGUAGGAAAGGAUUUUCUUUGGAAAUGAGUUUAUAACUUCUUAUACAGUCAGAAUUAAGAUGAAUGUUCCCUAUUGGCAUAUAGCAGUUCAUUUUUCUGGAAUAGAAAAUUACAAAUGUUAAAAUCUGCCCUCUUGUCGAGCGUCUACUGACUCAGUCCAGCAGCUCACUAGGACCCUCACAUCUGUUACCCCCACUGGUCACUCGGUCCAGUCAAACAUGCCUGUCCGCCAGCCUUUCAUCUGUGCUGCAUGGAGCCAUCAGUCUGUCUUGCCGGCUUGCCUAAGGGGCUUUCCGGAUGUUGUGCUGAGAAUUUUCCUAUCUCAGGGCUGUACUUUCUGGGUUCCCGGUGGUUGAUUGCUUGUCUCUAAUGAUGCAGUGGGAAGGGCUUGAGAUCCGGCAUUGGAAAAUUCAGUUCUGCUAAUUAUUGUUUUGUGACCUUGACCAAGAUAGUGCUCUGAGCCUCAGUUGUGUCAUCUUAUAAAUGGGAAUCAUAAUGCCCAUUUCAUAGAGUUACUAUGAGGAUUGUUGGUGAAAAGCGCUUUGCAAAUGGCAAAGGAUUAAACGAUUAAACGAACAUCAGUUGUCAUUGAUACUAAUGAUUAUGAUCAUAAAUCCUACUUUCUACUUUGUGUUAUAGCCUUUUGAGGAACGCAAAACAGAAGACACAUUCCAACCACUGGUUUCUAACAGAAGGGAAAAGAUACUCAUUAAAUGGCUAGACACCAAGAGCACAUGGGUCUGGCUUAAUGAGAUGCUGGAGAAGGUUGUUAAAUUCAAAUCCAUGUUUUCAGGAUUAAUACAGAAAUUAAUUGUUGUUUGGUGAACAUCAAAGAUUUCCCAGAAAUAGGGCACCAUCUUGUGGUCAGCAGGAUGAACUGACAGGAAAAAAAAGUCCAGUGGUUCUCAAUGCUACACAUUCCUAGGCCUAGGUCCACCUCCAGGGUCAGGUGUGGUGAGUCAGAUGUGUGGCCCCAGCAUCAGCACUUGUUAAUGUUCCUCGUAAGAUUCUAAGGUGCAGCAGGGUUGAUCACCGCCAAUCAGGCAGGCCGUGGAGCUCUUGCCUAUGACUACACAGCCGGUAAGCACAGACCGCCCUGCCUGCAGCUGGGUCCUGACUCUGGGCGCCUGAUGCAGAGACCACGGCACUUUCCAGGGAGUAGAGGCUGUUGCUAUGAUUCCUGGAGCCCAGGUCAUCAGCACACUGGCACACACAAAGGCACCUCCCAGAGCCCACCCCUCUCCUCCCUGGAGACCUGCGCUCCUCUGCCUUCCUUCUCCACCCGCACUAAUAACGUCAAAAUAGGUAACCAUGCAGCACUUCCUAGUUUACAAAGCACUUUAGGAGGCCAAGGCGAAAGGAUGGUUUGCUCCUACCAUAUCCGUCGUCCACAGCAAAUUCUGCGAGGAGAUGUGAUUAUCCUACUACCCAUGAGGAAACCGGGGCACUCGGGGGGGUAAGUGGUUUCACAAGCAUAUCGAGUAAGCACAUGUCUUCUGGAUCCCAACCCUGUGCUCUGCAGCCCUCCUGGUAGUAGUAGUAAUAGUAGCCCCCAUUCUAAAGUCAUCGUGGUCUUGAGGCUGGAACAGGAAAGAUGUGGGUGUCGGGGCUUGCACAGGGGGGUUGUUUUGCACAGCCCCAUAUGUGAUAGCAAAUAAUUGGAAUCACAGUGGCUGGCAAACUGAAAUAUUUAAUCUUCACAAUAAUUCUGGGAAAGGAGAUACUGUUCUUAGAGAAGGGGUUAGAGCUUGAAGAAAAUAAGGCAUUCCAUUGUGGCUAUCAAACAUUUCAAUCUCAGGACUCUCUCUCUCUCUCUAUUCAUUUAUUUAUUUAC